GGAGUAGCUUGAGGCAUUUGAAGCAGACUUCCUAUAUUGCUUUUAGCAGUAAGGAGAUGUUGAUUUAUAGCUAUAUGAUACAGUGCAUAUGGUUCUUCAAUUGUUAAAAAAGUAGUUUCAGUUUGCAUAUGGCAUCCAGAUUAAACUAUUAUCAGUCAAUAGGAGUCUCUCUUCAUACUAUUCAAUAACUCCUACUCCUCCUUUCAGUCUUCUUCUGUCUCUCACUUAUUUAUUGUCCUUUUGUUCAGCACAGCAGCAGGCGGGAGAAAGGAGUCAGAAAAUUUCAGAGAAGCAGCCCAGCAGACACCACAGUCAGUGUAUGAGGACAGGAAGUACUCCAGGCACUGCAAAGUUCCCUUGCAGCCCAGGAGAGGCCCAUGGUGUAGCAGGCUGUUCCCUUGCAGCCCAUGAAGCAUCAUAUCAGAGCAGAUAUCCUCACUGUAGCCUGAGGAAGAGCCCAUGCUGAAGUAGGUGGAUAUGGCCUGAAGGAAGGUACUAUUCGUGGAGAGCCCCUACAGAAGAAGACAAUGGGCUGGAGCUGCAUCCCAUGGAAAGAUGUCCACAGUGGAGCAGGAGGUCUGGCAAUGGAAUGGGCUACCUCAGCAGAUUUUGAGAUUACAAACAUCUGUGAGGAGUGGUGGAUGCACUACAUGGUUUUGCUACCAUUCUGAGGGAACUCCUCUUGGGACUGAUCAGCUUGAAAACAGCACAGCAGAGAGAGACAUGGAGGUCCUGGUGCAAUACCUGUUAUGUGGCAGCCAUACCACCUUGGGACAAAGAAGAUAAUCGGUCUCUUGAGCUGCAUUAGAAGAAAAAAGCUGCUGUCAGGUUGAGGGGAGGUGAUCCUUUUUUUCCAAUACUCUGUCCUGGUGCAGCCACACCUGGAUCCAGGUCUGAAUUGACUGUCUUUUUUUCUUCAGUUGUGAUCUAUGAAAGUCAUACAAUGUAUGCCAGUAGUGACUGUGUAUUGCUUAUAGAUGAAGUAAAGCAUCUGAAUACUAUAAAGUUUGAUAUCUAAAAACUGUACUGAUUAAAUAAUGUAUAGCACUGUGUUGGUGCUGCUAAAUGAAUAAACAUUGCAUGGCUAGCCCUGUUUUAAUGCCAACAAAUGAAUAAUGUUAAAAUUGUGAUUACAACAUGAUAUUAAUUAUAUGACGCAUAUUCUGAAUACUUGCAAUGGAUGAAUAAAUAAAAUUGUUAAAAAAAAAAAAAAAGAAGUUCAAACUUUAAUCUUCUCCAGACUUUCAAAAGACCCUUUUUCACCUGUAAUCUCUCUUUUCAUCC
ensembl:lncRNA